rnacentral:lncRNA from 1 species
GCCGCCGGGCCGGAGAGUUUGGGACGCGCCGGGAAGUUGUGCUGGGUGUGCAGCCGCUGCCGCUCCCACCAUGUCGGGCUCCUCCAACGUGGCGGCCAUGAAGAAGGUGGUGCAGCAGCUGCGCCUGGAGGCCAGCGUGACUCGCGUGAAGGUUUCUCAGGCUGCAGCAGACUUGAAGCAGUUCUGCCUGCAGAAUGCACAACAUGAUCCCCUACUGACAGGAGUAUCAUCGAGUACAAAUCCAUUCAGACCCCAGAAAGUUUGUUCAUUUUUGUAAUUACAUGAACUACUUUGGUAUCUUUCAGUGGAUUACCCACCUGACAGCAUACAUGGUGAAUCCUGAUUGUGACAGAUAAAGCAGACUUUCAUUCUUAAACUUUUAAAGAGCACCAUCAAAGAUGAGUGGUAGCCUCCAAGAGCACUGUCCCCUACAGGAGAUGCCCUCUAAGCCACAAGAAAAAAGAAUUUUGUCAAGGCACCUACUCUACUCAUACAAGCUACUAAAUGGCUAGCAGGUUUAAAUCUUCUAGCAUCUUUUCCUAGCUGCUGAUGUGUGUAUGGGUAGAGUGCCUCAAGGAGUGGCCUGGUUUGAAGUCUGUACAAAAGCUUAGCUUUCAUGUGCCAAAUCUAACUGUAAAAUUGCUACUGUCGAACUUCUUACCAUCUACCUCUCCAAAUGAACUGUAUGCUAGUAAAAUACUUCUGUUUCAUAAGGGAAUCAGUUUUAUAUGCCAAGCAAAAAAUAAAAGUGUCUUGACUUAAUCUGGCCUUGAAAUUACUGUAAAAAGUUGAUUAACACCUGGCUAUGUUGACACCUCACCAGUUACUCACUGCAGUAGCCAGGGAGUACACAGAGGAGUCUGUCUUUAAAUAUUCCACGCUACUGCAGGUUUUCCUGGGGUCUUACAGAACAAUGAGUAUUCAUCAAUACUAUACUCAGAAGCAUAACAGAAAAGAAAAAAAAAAAAAG